CUUGCUUCUCUUGAGAGCGGCGGACGGGUGAGUAAUGCCUAGGAAUCUGCCUGGUAGUGGGGGAUAACGUUCGGAAACGGACGCUAAUACCGCAUACGUCCUACGGGAGAAAGCAGGGGACCUUCGGGCCUUGCGCUAUCAGAUGAGCCUAGGUCGGAUUAGCUAGUUGGUGGGGUAAUGGCUCACCAAGGCUACGAUCCGUAACUGGUCUGAGAGGAUGAUCAGUCACACUGGAACUGAGACACGGUCCAGACUCCUACGGGAGGCAGCAGUGGGGAAUAUUGGACAAUGGGCGAAAGCCUGAUCCAGCCAUGCCGCGUGUGUGAAGAAGGUCUUCGGAUUGUAAAGCACUUUAAGUUGGGAGGAAGGGUUGUAGAUUAAUACUCUGCAAUUUUGACGUUACCGACAGAAUAAGCACCGGCUAACUCUGUGCCAGCAGCCGCGGUAAUACAGAGGGUGCAAGCGUUAAUCGGAAUUACUGGGCGUAAAGCGCGCGUAGGUGGUUUGUUAAGUUGGAUGUGAAAUCCCCGGGCUCAACCUG
rnacentral:rRNA from 1 species